rnacentral:rRNA from 1 species
AUUGAACGCUGGCGGCAGGCCUAACACAUGCAAGUCGAGCGGUAGCACAGGGAGCUUGCUCCUGGGUGACGAGCGGCGGACGGGUGAGUAAUGUCUGGGAAACUGCCUGAUGGAGGGGGAUAACUACUGGAAACGGUAGCUAAUACCGCAUAACGUCGCAAGACCAAAGAGGGGGACCUUCGGGCCUCUUGCCAUCAGAUGUGCCCAGAUGGGAUUAGCUAGUAGGUGGGGUAACGGCUCACCUAGGCGACGAUCCCUAGCUGGUCUGAGAGGAUGACUAGCCACACUGGAACUGAGACACGGGCCAGACUCCUACGGGAGGCAGCAGUGGGGAAUAUUGCACAAUGGGCGCAAGCCUGAUGCAGCCAUGCCGCGUGUAUGAAGAAGGCCUUCGGGUUGUAAAGUACUUUCAGCGGGGAGGAAGGUGUUGAGGUUAAUAACCUCAGCAAUUGACGUUACCCGCAGAAGAAGCACCGGCUAACUCCGUGCCAGCAGCCGCCGUAAUAC